UACGGGGGGAGCAAGCGUUGUUCGGAUUUACUGGGCGUAAAGCGCGCGUAGGCGGCUUUGUAAGUUAGAGGUGAAAGCCCGGAGCUCAACUCCGGAACUGCCUUUAAGACUGCAUCGCUUGAAUCCAGGAGAGGUGAGUGGAAUUCCGAGUGUAGAGGUGAAAUUCGUAGAUAUUAGGAAGAACACCAGUGGCGAAGGCGGCUCACUGGUCCGGUACUGACGCUGAGGUGCGAAAGCGUGGGGAGCAAACAGGG
rnacentral:rRNA from 1 species